UACAGAGGAGCCAAGCGUUGUCCGGAUUUACUGGGCGUAAAGAGCGCGCAGGCGGUCGUUCAAGUCGCGUGUGAAAGCCCCCGGCUCAACUGGGGAGGGUCACGCGAUACUGAUCGACUCGAAGGCAGGAGAGGGUAGUGGAAUUCCCGGUGUAGUGGUGAAAUGCGUAGAUAUCGGGAGGAACACCAGUGGCGAAGGCGGCGACCUGGGCCAAUACUGACGCUGAGGUGCGAAAGCGUGGGGAGCAAACAGGG
rnacentral:rRNA from 1 species